rnacentral:rRNA from 1 species
GUGGGGAAUAUUGGACAAUGGGGGGAACCCUGAUCCAGCCAUGCCGCGUGUGUGAAGAAGGCCUUUUGGUUGUAAAGCACUUUAAGCGAGGAGGAGGCUACUGAGAUUAAUACUCUUGGAUAGUGGACGUUACUCGCAGAAUAAGCACCGGCUAACUCUGUGCCAGCAGCCGCGGUAAUACAGAGGGUGCGAGCGUUAAUCGGAUUUACUGGGCGUAAAGCGUGCGUAGGCGGCUUUUUAAGUCGGAUGUGAAAUCCCCGAGCUUAACUUGGGAAUUGCAUUCGAUACUGGGAAGCUAGAGUAUGGGAGAGGAUGGUAGAAUUCCAGGUGUAGCGGUGAAAUGCGUAGAGAUCUGGAGGAAUACCGAUGGCGAAGGCAGCCAUCUGGCCUAAUACUGACGCUGAGGUACGAAAGCAUGGGGAGCAAACAGGAUUAGAUACCCCAGUAGUCC